rnacentral:lncRNA from 1 species
AGGCCGGUCAGCUGGAGGCGGGCCGCACCACUCGGCCUGCGGAGACGGGGGGUGGGGGUGGGGGGAGGCCGGGGAGGAGGCGCGGAGAGUAAGAGGGAGGGGAGCUGAGGAGGUGGGGCGUGCGGGUGAACCGAGGACCGCGGGGCGGGGAGGAGGGAAGACCCGGCGCCCUCGGCAGCUCCCACCGCCGCUCCCAGCCACAGCGAUGUCCCGUGCGGCGGCGCUGGGAAGGACCUCAGGCCCCCCCGCCGGCUCCGGCGUAGCAGCGGCCGCUGUGAAAGCCGCGGCCCCGCUCGCUCCGUAACACCCUCCCCUCCCCCGGAGGCUGCGCUGACCGGACAAUGGCCGCUCCGCCCCCUCCCCGCCUCGCGCACCCCUCCAGAGGAGUCACACAAUGGUCUCGCCCGGGGGGGUCGGGGGAGCCGCCGCCGGAGCCCAGCAGCUGAUCAGCUGGGCGCCGGGCGUGCCACUUUGUUCAGCUCCUCAAAGGAAGAGGACGGGGCCGUGGGCAGAGCCGAGACCGCGGGGCUGUCACUCGGCGACAGGCCUUGGUGGCUUUCGUAUCCUUCGGGACUUUUACGGUCUGAGGGAAACUUAACCUUCCCCCGCCCCGUCUCCCACACCCAAGCUCACUCUUCCUGUUCCACCCGGAGAACUGGUCUCCCUUUGGCAGCGGUAAACUUUUGAGAAUGUCCCUCCUCUCCUCCGCACCAAAAAUGAAGAGGGGGCAAGAGAGCAGUGUCUGGGUCAGAUUCCGUGCUCAUCUAAGCCUAUCGGUGUCCCCAGACAUGAGUUCACUCCCUUUGCCGAAGCGAGGACAGCGUCUCUUCUUACUGGAGUGGACAUUUUGGUUUUCGGAGGGGAACUAUGGCCAAAUCAGUGAUGGAAAUUUGGGAAGUGACCAAAAAGUUUGAGCCACUUAAAAAACGAGUCCUUUAGCGCUCAUUGUCUUGUAAUGCUGAACCCAUUCUGAGUUCCAGCCAGUCGUGAGCAGAAGGUAAUUAUUGAUGACUAAUUUCAACAAUGAGCAGAUCUGGAGAAAUGACCCAAAGCUUAUGGGCGAACGUCUCAGUCCCUGGGAGGCUUCUUGUCUCCUUUUCUUUUCUUUUCUUUUCUCACAGUUUAGCAUGUUCUCAGACGGACUUGAAGCCCAUCCACAGGGGCCUUGAACCCCUUUUCCUGGCACAGAGGAGGGCUUGCCAUUUGAUAACAACAAAGCCUAUUGUAAACAGACGUUGCUUGCUGUCCCCUCCUGACCCUCACCAAUUAAAGUUUUCUAAAUAGUCACAAUUAUUUUAAGUUCAAUGCUGCUGCUGCUGCUAAGUCGCUUCAGUCGUAUCCGACUCUAUGCGACCNNNNNNNNNNNNNNNNNNNNNNNNNNNNNNNNNNNNNNNNNNNNNNNNNNNNNNNNNNNNNNNNNNNNNNNNNNNNCUUCUCCAAUGCAUGAAAGUGAAGAGUGAAAGUGAAGUUGCUCAGUUGUGCUGUUGAUUAUGCUGUUGUUCAGUCGCCCAGUCGUGUCCGACUCUUAGCGACCCCAUGGACUGCAGGGAUUUUCCAGGCAAGAGUACUGUGGCCAUUGCCUUCUCCGAGCCUCCUACUACUAACAAUCAGAUAGUAGCCCAAGUAUAACAUGGGAGAACAAGGCACCCGGGCGCUCACCUAAUACUAUAGUCCAUGGACCUCCCAGAUCAGAGUACUACAAGAGGGAGAAGCAGC